rnacentral:rRNA from 1 species
GUCGAGCGAGCGGAACCAACAGAUUUACUUCGGUAAUGACGUUGGGAAAGCGAGCGGCGGAUGGGUGAGUAACACGUGGGGAACCUGCCCCUAAGUCUGGGAUACCAUUUGGAAACAGGUGCUAAUACCGGAUAAUAAAGCAGAUCGCAUGAUCAGCUUUUGAAAGACGGCGUAAGCUGUCGCUAAGGGAUGGCCCCGCGGUGCAUUAGCUAGUUGGUAAGGUAACGGCUUACCAAGGCAACGAUGCAUAGCCGAGUUGAGAGACUGAUCGGCCACAUUGGGACUGAGACACGGCCCAAACUCCUACGGGAGGCAGCAGUAGGGAAUCUUCCACAAUGGACGCAAGUCUGAUGGAGCAACGCCGCGUGAGUGAAGAAGGUUUUCGGAUCGUAAAGCUCUGUUGUUGGUGAAGAAGGAUAGAGGUAGUAACUGGCCUUUAUUUGACGGUAAUCAACCAGAAAGUCACGGCUAACUACGUGCCAGCAGCCGCGGUAAUACGUAGGUGGCAAGCGUUGUCCGGAUUUAUUGGGCGUAAAGCGAGCGCAGGCGGAAAAAUAAGUCUAAUGUGAAAGCCCUCGGCUUAACCGAGGAACUGCAUCGGAAACUGUUUUUCUUGAGUGCAGAAGAGGAGAGUGGAACUCCAUGUGUAGCGGUGGAAUGCGUAGAUAUAUGGAAGAACACCA